GUUGAGGAAAGGCCAACCUGUUAGGAUCAGGAGGGCCAGCUUGCUGUCUCUUUUGUCGAUUUGCGGCACAGCGCAGCAGCGACGGCUCUUGAGGACCCAAGGGUAUGUGGGUUUAUUGAAUUUUGAAUAAUCUUGGUGUGUGUUGAGUUUAAAGAUUGACUUCAACGUGCAUUUUUGAAUAAUUUUGGUGAACCUUUAGGGUGUGGAGUGAAUUUGCAUUUUUCAAGAGUAGUAGUUAUUUGAGAAGUUUCUUCCGGAUUUUGAAGUUUUGAAGCUUGAUUUUAGACUUUAGAAAUAGUUCUUGGAUAUGCUUAUUGCUGUAUUCUGUGUAGCACGGAAAGGGGAAGGGAAACGCAGACGCGGUGAAACGGGAAACGGACACAAGAAAACAUAUAAAUAUAAAAAUAAGGGUAUAUUUAUAAAUAUCAAAUGAAAUAAUACAUAAAUAAAAUAAAUAUAUGGAAUUAAUUUAGAACUAAUAAAGCUAUUAUAUUGAUAAUUUAAUUAUGUUUUACUCGUCAUUGUUAACAUUUUUCAUCUCUCUCACGUCUUCUUCUCCUCGUCAACUCCCCUAUGUACUACGAACGUCACCGACGAGACUCAGACUACUUUCCGACACCAGUUAAGCAAGUUCAAGCACAUGAGCGAAAAUGAAAUUAACGGUGGC
rnacentral:misc_RNA from 1 species